rnacentral:rRNA from 1 species
UACGGAGGGUGCAAGCGUUAUCCGGAUUUACUGGGUUUAAAGGGUGCGUAGGUGGGCAGGUAAGUCAGUGGUGAAAUCCUCAAGCUUAACUUGAGAACUGCCAUUGAUACUAUCUGUCUUGAAUAUCCUGGAGGUGAGCGGAAUAUGUCAUGUAGCGGUGAAAAUGCUUAGAUAUGACAUAGAACACCCAUUGCGAAGGCAGCUCACUACGGGAUUAUUGACACUGAGGCACGAAAGCGUGGGGAUCAAACAGG